rnacentral:ncRNA from 1 species
GAGGGCAGGCCCCUCGGGUUCGGCGAUCAGGAGCCGAUCCCAAACCACCACAAGCUGCUGUCGUAAAGAGCGAUGGUGGUGAGCGUUGUGGAAACGGCGGGACAUGAUCCCGUCAGGU